GACGAACGCUGGCGGCGUGCUUAACACAUGCAAGUCGAACGGAAAGGCCCUGCUUUUGUGGGGUUCUCGAUUGGCGAACGGGUGAGUAACACGUGAGUAACCUGCCCUUGACUUUGUGAUAACUUCAGGAAACUGGGGCUAAUACCGGAUAGGAGCUCCUGCUGCAUGGUGGGGGUUGGAAAGUUUCGGCGGUUGGGGAUGGACUCGCGGCUUAUCAGCUUGUUUGUGGGGUAGUGGCUGUCCAAGGGUUUGACGGGUAGCCGGCCUGAGAGGGUGACCGGCCACAUUGGGACUGAGAUACGGACCAGACUCCUACGGGAGGCAGCAGUGGGGAAUAUUGCACAAUGGGCGGAAGCCUGAUGCAGAAACGCCGCGUGCGGGAUGAUGGCCUUCGGGUUGUAAACCGCUUUCGCCUGUGACGAAGCGUGAGUGACGGUAAUGGGUAAAGAAGCACCGGCUAACUACGUG
rnacentral:rRNA from 1 species